rnacentral:rRNA from 1 species
CAGCAGCCGCGGUAAUACGUAGGGUGCAAGCGUUAAUCGGAAUUACUGGGCGUAAAGCGUGCGCAGGCGGUUCCGCAAGUCAGAUGUGAAAUCCCCGGGCUCAACCUGGGAACUGCAUUUGAAACUAUGGAGCUAGAGUGUGUCAGAGGGGGGUAGAAUUCCACGUGUAGCAGUGAAAUGCGUAGAGAUGUGGAGGAAUACCGAUGGCGAAGGCAGCCCCCUGGGAUGACACUGACGCUCAUGCACGAAAGCGUGGGGAGCAAACAGGAUUAGAUACCCUGGUAGUCCACGCCCUAAACGAUGUCAACUAGUUGUUGGGUCUUUAUUGACUCAGUAACGCAGCUAACGCGUGAAGUUGACCGCCUGGGGAGUACGGUCGCAAGAUUAAAACUCAAAGGAAUUGACGG